rnacentral:rRNA from 1 species
UACGAAGGGGGCUAGCGUUGUUCGGAAUUACUGGGCGUAAAGCGCACGUAGGCGGAUCGGUCAGUCAGGGGUGAAAUCCCAGGGCUCAACCCUGGAACUGCCUUUGAUACUGUCGAUCUGGAGUAUGGAAGAGGUGAGUGGAAUUCCGAGUGUAGAGGUGAAAUUCGUAGAUAUUCGGAGGAACACCAGUGGCGAAGGCGGCUCGCUGGACCAUUACUGACGCUGAGGUGCGAAAGCGUGGGGAGCAAACAGG